rnacentral:tRNA from 1 species
CGGGGUGUAGCUCAGUCAGGUUAGAGUACUGGUCUGGGGGACCAGGAGUCGGUGGUUCGAAUCCACUCACCCCGA